AUUGAACGCUGGCGGCAUGCUUUACACAUGCAAGUCGAACGGUAACAGGCCGCAAGGUGCUGACGAGUGGCGCACGGGUGAGUAAUGCAUCGGAACGUGCCCAGUCGUGGUGGAUAACUACUCGCAAGAGUAGCUAAUACCGCAUACGAUCUAUUGAUGAAAGCGGGGGACCGUAAGGCCUCGCGCGAUUGGAGCGGCCGAUGUCAGAUUAGGUAGUUGGUGGGGUAAAGGCUCACCAAGCCAACGAUCUGUAGCUGGUCUGAGAGGACGACCAGCCACACUGGGACUGAGACACGGCCCAGACUCCUACGGGAGGCAGCAGUGGGGAAUUUUGGACAAUGGGCGCAAGCCUGAUCCAGCAAUGCCGCGUGAAGGAAGAAGGCCUUCGGGUUGUAAACUGCUUUUGUACGGAACGAAACGGCUCUGGUUAAUACCCGGGGAUAAUGACGGUACCGAAAGAAUAAGCACCGGCUAACUACGUG
rnacentral:rRNA from 1 species